ACUCCUACGGGAGGCAGCAGUAGGGAAUCUUCCGCAAUGGGCGAAAGCCUGACGGAGCAACGCCGCGUGAGUGAUGAAGGUCUUCGGAUCGUAAAACUCUGUUAUUAGGGAAGAACAAACGCGUAAGUAACUGUGCACGUCUUGACGGUACCUAAUCAGAAAGCCACGGCUAACUACGUGCCAGCAGCCGCGGUAAUACGUAGGUGGCAAGCGUUAUCCGGAAUUAUUGGGGCGUAAAGCGCGCGUAGGCGGUUUUUUAAGUCUGAUGUGAAAGCCCACGGCUCAACCGUGGAGGGUCAUUGGAAACUGGAAAACUUGAGUGCAGAAGAGGAAAGUGGAAUUCCAUGUGUAGCGGUGAAAUGCGCAGAGAUAUGGAGGAACACCAGUGGCGAAGGCGACUUUCUGGUCUGUAACUGACGCUGAUGUGCGAAAGCGUGGGGAUCAAACAGGAUUAGAUACCCUGGUAGGAUAGCG
rnacentral:rRNA from 1 species